GCUUACGGCCAUACCUCUCUGACAAAGCCCGAUCUCAUCUGACCUCGGAAGCAAAGCAAAGUUGGGCCUGGUUAGUACUUGCUUGGGAGACUGAAUGGGAAUACUAGGUGCUGUAAGCU
ensembl:rRNA 5S_rRNA 5S ribosomal RNA